rnacentral:tRNA from 1 species
GGUCUGGUAGUUCAGUUGGUUAGAAUGCCUGCCUGUCACGUAGGAGAUCGCGGGUUCGAGUCCCGUCCAGACCG